UGGGGUGUAGCUCAGUGUUAGAGCACUUGCCUAGCAUGCAUAAAGCCCUGGGUUCCAUCCCCAGCAACACAC
rnacentral:tRNA from 1 species